GGCGGGUUGCCCGAGCGGCCAAUGGGAGCGGACUGUAAAUCCGUCGCGAAAGCUACAGAGGUUCGAAUCCUCUACCCGCCAC
rnacentral:tRNA from 36 species